CCUACGGGGUGCAGCAGUAGGGAAUUUUCGGCAAUGGGGGGAACCCUGACCGAGCAACGCCGCGUGAACGAAGAAGUUAUUCGUAAUGUAAAGUUCUUUUAACAGGGAAGAAAGAGAAAUUUGACGGUACCUGAAGAAUAAGCUCCGGCUAACUACGUGCCAGCAGCCGCGGUAAUACGUAGGGAGCGAGCAUUAUCCGGAGUGACUGGGUGUAAAGAGUUGCGUAGGUGGCAUAAUAAGUAGCUAGUGAAAUCUGGUGGCUCAACCAUUCAGACUAUUAGCUAAACUGUUAAGCUCGAGACCGUUAGGGGUAACUGGAAUUUCUAGUGUAGGAGUGAAAUCCGUAGAUAUUAGAAGGAACACCAAUAGCGUAGGCAGGUUACUGGGACGGUUCUGACACUAAGGCACGAAAGCGUAGGGAGCAAACGGGAUUAGAUACCCCUGUAGUC
rnacentral:rRNA from 1 species